rnacentral:lncRNA from 1 species
UUUAUGUCCAGUAUUUAUCCACGUACUAUAAAUGUCAAUGUCAUUGUAAAAUCGGUCAGGGUAGUUUUCAUCAACUACGUUGUAAAAUUUCCAUAGUUAUGUGAGCGUGUUUGUAGUAUAUAUAGGAUAACUUACUGUGAAAUUUUAGAAAAAAAAUAUAUGUAUCAAAUAUGUCUUAUGUCAGUACAACUUCCAAUGGUAAUGUUACAAUACUAGACAGACAAGAGGUUCGCCUUGUUGACGGUUACGAUAUACCUGUUUAUGGAAUUAGUGACGGAACUUUUUACAUAGUUCAUAUUCCAGCUAUAACAUGUAUAUGCAUCAGUUUCUUAUGUGCAGUAGCAGUAAUUGGGUAUUCUUUCUAUCACCAAAAAUGUUCUACGUUCUUCCAAUGGACUAAAAGUGAAAGAUUUGUUGUGUACAUGGCACUAUGUGAUGCUUUGUUUAACAUUUCACAUUUUUGUGAUCACACACACAUUGUUGUUACAAAAUCUUUCCCAAUGCCGAAAUCUCUAUGUGCAUUUUACGGAUUCAUAUUAGCAGAAUUCGUAACAGCUCAAAACUUAAUGGUCAAUAUUGUUGCAAUAAAUGUGUUUGUAUUAAUAUAUUUUCGAAAACAGAUAGAUUUCGGUCGAUGGGAUUAUCGACUUUUGGUAUAUGUUUUCGGUGUUCCUGCAGUAGGAGCUACGAUUGCAGCUACGCUUGGAAAAUUUGGUCCGAGUGGAGCAUUGUAAGUGCUUUUUUUUUCUUCAAACUAGUAUUUCAAAUAAUAACCACACAAUUUAACAUUCGUUAAAUGAAAUUGUAAAUAUUCCUUUAUGAAUCAUUUUCGAAUUGCAUUUUUUUGUUAUCAAAGAUCUUGAGCCCUGAUUAAAAUAGAGUAUUUAAAAGUAACUUAAACAUUCAGUUUAUUGAAUCGGGUUUACGUAUAUUCAGGUAUGGCUUUAUAUCUGUUAAAUCUAGUAUGAACUGCCUUUGUUUAGGAUAUAAAAAUAAGAAAAUAAUUGCAAUGAGGUUGCUAUGUUCCAUUAUAGCAAAAUCGAUCAAAUCUUUAACAUUAAAGUGACAUUAGUUCAUUAAGCUGUUUUGUUUGAUUUUUUAAUUAAAUAUAAUUAACAAGGUUUAUUUUUAUUCUAGUUGUUACAUCGACGCAGUUAAAGGGCAAAUGACAUAUAUUUUCUUCACGACAGUACCUUUACUACUCAUAUUAGUGAGUAAUACAGUCAUGUAUGUAGUCAGUUGGUUCCGAAUAUAUACAGAAACACGUGAAAUCAAGAGCUCGCUUGGAAAAUCAUCAAGAGCUAUACGAGCAUCACAUAAAGCUGCAAAAACUAUGUCUUUGUUUGUAACUGCAUUCUUUGUCCAAUGGUGGGCUCUUGCUGUUUAUGGCUUAUUGCAGCUGAUAGGAAGCGUACCAGCAAUUAUGGUAAAUCUUACCACAACAUUUUCAAACAUUGGUGGUCUUUUAAAUGGAAUUGUGUUUAUUUUUAUAAUACGAAGGAAAAGAGAGAAAUCAGAAGAGAAAGGAUCAAAUGAUAAAGCAGGGUCCGGCGGUACGACUAGUUCACAUAUCAAUUAUAAGGUUCAUUCGACAAAUACACAAAGUACCGUUUGAAUUGUUGAACUCAAUAUAACAUAUCUAUGCUAUUACGUUUUAAAUUGUUUAAUUUCUAUAUUAUCUGGGUUUUUUUCUUUGUUGAAAUAUAAUAUUUAAUAAAAUCGGAAAUACUCUUUUGAUAUAAAUUGCAAACUCUCUUGCAAAUACAGCAUGAUAUAAUGACCAAUCUUUAACAUUUGGGCUGAUACAUUUCAAAACUUAUAUUUUCUGAUACUUUAUAUUUUUAAAGAGAAAUUUUGAAACGCAUUUAUUAAGCUAUAAGAAGAUGUUGGAUAUGCAUGAAUAAGACAGCAACCAUCGAAAAUAGCAUGAAGGCA